ACUCCUACGGGAGGCAGCAGUGGGAAUCUUAGACAAUGGGCGCAAGCCUGAUCUAGCCAUGCCGCGUGAUCGAUGAAGGCCUUAGGGUUGUAAAGAUCUUUCAGAUGGGAAGAUAAUGACGGUACCAUCAGAAGAAGCCCGCCUGAACUCCAGCUGCCAGCAGCCGCGGUAAUACGGAGGGGCGGUAGCGUUAUUCGGAAUUACUGGGCGUAAAGCGCACGUAGGCGGAUCAGAAA
rnacentral:rRNA from 1 species